rnacentral:rRNA from 1 species
AACGAACGCUGGCGGCAUGCCUAACACAUGCAAGUCGAACGAGACCUUCGGGUCUAGUGGCGCACGGGUGCGUAACGCGUGGGAACCUGCCCUUAGGUUCGGAAUAACUCCCCGAAAGGGGUGCUAAUACCGGUUAAUGUCUUCGGACCAAAGAGUUAUCGCCUUUGGAUGGGCCCGCGUUGGAUUAGCCAGUUGGUAGGGUAAAAGCCUACCAAGGCGACGAUCCAUAGCUGGUCUGAGAGGAUGAUCAGCCACACUGGGACUGAGACACGGCCCAGACUCCUACGGGAGGCAGCAGUGGGGAAUAUUGGACAAUGGGCGAAAGCCUGAUCCAGCAAUGCCGCGUGAGUGAUGAAGGCCUUAGGGUUGUAAAGCUCUUUUAGCCGGGAUGAUAAUGACAGUACCGGGAGAAUAAGCACCGGCUAACUCCGUG